AGAUAAGCAUCAAAGUCGCACAGCAUUACAUUCCGAAGAUAUAAAUUACUGUCACUGUGAUGGCAUGUCUCCAAGAGCCAAGAGAAGCCCUGUCACACAGGAGCUUGGAAGAUGGCCUCCGAUGGUGCCAUGGCGGUCUCCAGCCCCGAGGGCGAAGGCAACAAGAAGGAGAAGGCUCCCAAGUCUCUGGCUUCGCCGAGGAGUAGCAGCGGCAUCGGCGGCGGUGGCGGUGGCCUCUGUCUGUGCUCGCCUACCACCCACCAAGGCUCCUUCCGCUGCCGGUUCCACCGCUCUCUCUCCACCUCGUGGAUGCGGCGCUCCAAGUCCAUGCCUUCUUCCACCUCCACCUCCAACUCCUCCUCCUCCUCCUCCCCUCCUCCUCCCCUCUUUCCCAAUCCCUUGGAGGCUACUCAGAACUAGGAUGGAUCGCAGCUGCGUCAUCUCUCCAUUCUGUUGCUUUCAAUACGAGACUUUGAACUGUAGGUAACCUCAUCACUGUGGUAUGCAUGCAAGCUUCUUUCCUUGGUUGCGAGAGCUGAAGCCAUGUUUCAGUGGAUCAAGUUCUGAUUUGUAAGCUCUCUUUGCUGAUAUAUAUAUAGAGCGAGAGAGAGAGAGAGAGAGAGAGAGAGAGAGUCUUAUAGUUGGAUUUUACUGUACAACGUUCUGCUGCAAGGAGAGAGAUUAAUCCAGUUGAUGCUGGAGAUAUAGAUCAGCCAAUGGUAUCAUGCAUGAACCUGAGCAGGAGACUGCCUGCACUGUCGAUGCUUUCGACUGCUGUAAUUUCCAUGGUUUAUGAGUCGAUCAUCGAUCCUAAAUCAGGAGACAAAUUGCGAAUCUUGACACUUGUGAGGAGAGAUUACCAUAUCGAAAGUCCUCGAUCCUGUUGGAUCUCUGUGCUUCCUCCUGCAAGAAAACAUUUAGAUUUGUUGUGGAUUGAUGAUUAAGUGACAGGGGAUUAAUUUUUCUACCAAAUUUCGCUCUUAAUGUUUCCAAAUUCCAUAUUCAAUUAGCUUCUUAGAAAUUAAAGUAUCCCAAUUUAAUUACGUGCUUGCAUUUGUUUUUGAUUAAUAAGUGUUCUAAUCCUACUUAAAUGGAUUAAGUAUUCAUUGGUAUCUGAAAAAUCCGAUCCGCUAUCGUCGUAUUUGUCGGUCACUACCUUUGUGAUGAUUGGAAGAAGUGGUGGGUGGAGCCCAUCGCGAAUCCAAAGGCCACAUUACGUGGGUCGGGAAGUGCGGAGAUUCCCUCAAUUAAACACACAUGAUUGACCAUGGCCCACGAUUCUCUGGAUUAAUUGACGAGCUACCCUUGUGAUGAUUGGUGGAACAAGUGGAGCCCAUUGCGGAGCCACAAGUGGGUUGAGUUCGGAGGUUCCCCCUAAUUAAUCACAAAUGAGAGAACUCCACCGCGAUUCUGUAAAUUAGAUCGGACAGCUACCCUUGCGAUGAUUGGAAGGCCAGGUGGAGCCCAUUUGGCUAGAUAACGUGGGUAAUUGGAGGCAAGAGUUAGGUAGUGUCGAGCAAGAUGGCGGAGAUCCGCCUGUUGGGCUCUAUGGGCAACAGGGCCUCCGCCGCCGCCCUCGUUCUGCGUCUCUCGUUGCCUUCUUUGUCUUUCUUGUGCUGGCUGGUCUCCACUCCCUCCUUUCCGUUUGGAGUCGCCUGGUGAGCGCCUCCUCUACCUUUCUUGAUAUGUCUUGUGGUUCUUGAAUCGAGGAUCUUCGAAGUCGCCUUCCCUAUGCCGGCUGGCCUCAUCUCCCUCCCCUCGCUUUGGAAUCGCCUGGUGAGCUCCUAAUCUACCUUCAUCGAUACGUCUUGUGGUUCUUGAAUCGAGGAUCUUUGGAGUCACCUGGUGAGCACCUCCUCUACCUUUCUUGAUACGCCUUGUAGUUCUCGAGUCGAGAAUCUCUGCUGUCUGGCUGGCCUCCUCUCCCUUGGAGUAGGCUGGUAUAUGUCUUGUAGUUCUUGAAUCGAGGAUCCUGGAGUUGCCUGAUGAUCUCCUCCUUCUCUGCCUCGUCUGCUAUGCUUGAUCUGUCUCCUGGUUCUUGAAUUGGGCCCACAUGUUGAUACAAAUUAAGUUUAGGAAGAAAGAGAUGCUCACAUGUUGAACAUUAGGUUAGCACAGAGAGGAACCAGCAAGCAAUUAAGAAGAAAUAGACCAUGUCAAGAAGCAUGUGACGAGCUUCGCUGCCCUAGAUUUCCUAGAAUGCUUGCGGUCGGAUGUGUUUGUGAUGACCAGCUGUGGUGGCAAUUUCGCCAAGCUGGAUGAUAGGAGAUCAUUGAUUGCUGCAUGGGCCACCGAUUGAAGUCGAUAAAGCCCCCAAAUCCUUGGGGAGGAUGUUGUGAUAACCCACCAUAUGCGGACUGGCCUUCCUGGAAAAACCUUCCCCAACUAUGACCAAUGGGAGAAUCUGCUAACUACGUGCAUGCGUCGAGCUGGGCUGCUGCUUCUUGUAUUGUCCGUCGUCCAUUUUCCCAUUUGGUCAAUCUGUUUUUUUUGUCCUUGAACUAAAUUUAGGCCUUGAACUCCGUUGUCUCGGAGAGAAAAGAUAGACAUGUGGUAGUGGUAAAGAUUGCGCAAACUUUGUUCUAACAGUGGAAUUUGUUGUUCAUGUCUCUUUUUCUUUUCUGUGAAAAUAAAAAAAAAAUUGUCUGGGUAA